rnacentral:lncRNA from 1 species
GCCCCUCACUCUCAACCCACAGCCCCUGCUAGCCCAGCCCUGACCUCCCCAGCUCUGCUGCCUGCCAGUGCCCCUCACUCCUGACCCACAGACCCCUCCACUCCAGCUCUGGGCUCACAGUCUCUCUCUCUCUCGGCUUUGCUGUAGGGCAAAGGCGUGGAAGACACAUACUGGCUGGUGGGACGAGACGGAUUUAACAAACCCAUCCCCACGCCCCCCGACCUGCAGCCGGGGGCGAGUAACCACGGCAUCAGCAUGGAUGAGAUCCCCGCAGACCGACGGAAGAAGCUGGAGAAAGCCCGGCAGAACAAGUAGCGAGGGAGGCCAGCGAGUGGGAGGCCGGGCUAGGCGGAAAUCUGUGGGCAACACCACCUGACACUUCCCGGCCAGUCCCUGUGGGGCAGACUCAAAUUGCUCCCCCGCCACGCCCUGUGGAAGGACGAUGGGCCGGGCCGGGUGGGCA